rnacentral:rRNA from 1 species
AAUGAUUUAGAGCAGUGAGCGGCUGGGUGCUAAUGUCCGGCCACGAGAGAGGAACAACUCAGACCAGCAGCUAAGGCCCCGAAGAGUAUACUAAGUUGAACUAACGAUGUGCGACUGCAGCGACAGCUAGGAUGUUAGCUUGGAAGCAGCUAUUCAUUUAAAGAGUGCGUAACAGCUCACUAGUCGAGCGGUUGUGCGUGGAUAAUAAACGGGCAUCAAGUAUACCGCCGAAGCUCUGGGAUCUACGGAUCGGUAGGGGAGCAUUCCAUUCGCGUCGAAGUUGUAGCGUGAGCUAUGGUGGAGCGUAUGGAAAAGCAAAUGUAGGCAUAAGUAACGAUAAGGCGGGCGAGAAACCCGCCCACCGCAAGACCAAGGUUUCCUGAUCAACGUUAAUCGGAUCAGGGUUAGUCGGGACCUAAGGAUAAGCCGAAAGGUGAUUUCGAUGGACAAUCGGUUAAUAUUCCGAUACUGAUAUGGACUGCGACGGAGAGACGAAGGGGCGUAAGCCACGCCAACUGACGGAAUAGUUGGUUAAAGGAUGUAGGUAAAUCGGGAGGUUAAGAGCUUUCUGAUGCUGAAAUCCGACAGUACCGCGAGCCUACGGGUGAGCGGAUAGUUGGCCCAAGCGGACUUCCGAGAAAAACUUCUAAGCUUCAGGUUCAUAUCACCCGUACCGUAAACCGACACAGGUGGUCGAGGAGAGUAUCCUAAGGUGCUCGAGUGAUUCACGGUUAAGGAACUAGGCAAAUUAACCCCGUAACUUCGGAAUAAGGGGUCCCAUUGAGAGAUGGGCGCAGCGAAGAGGUCCAGGCGACUGUUUAGCAAAAACACAGGGCUCUGCAAAUUCGAAAGAAGACGUAUAGGGCCUGACACCUGCCCGGUGCUGGAAGGUUAAGAGGGGAUGUCAUCGCAAGAGAAGCAUUGAAUCGAAGCCCCAGUAAACGGCGGCCGUAACUAUAACGGUCCUAAGGUAGCGAAAUUCCUUGUCGGGUAAGUUCCGACCUGCACGAAUGGUGUAACGAUCUGGACACUGUCUCAACCGUGAGCUCGGUGAAAUUGUAGUCCCGGUGAAGAUGCCGGGUACCCGCAACGGGACGAAGAGACCCCGUGAACCUUUACUGCAGCUUAACGCUGAAUUUGGGUAUACGAUGUGUAGGAUAGGCAGGAGACAAUGAAGCGGGUACGCCAGUAUUCGUGGAGUCAACGUUGAAAUA